rnacentral:tRNA from 1 species
GACCCGUUCGUCUAGGGGUCAGGACACCGGGUUUUCAUCCCGGCAGCACGGGUUCGAAUCCCGUACGGGUCA